rnacentral:rRNA from 1 species
AACGAACGCUGGCGGCAGGCUUAACACAUGCAAGUCGAGCGCCUCGCAAGGGGAGCGGCAGACGGGUGAGUAACGCGUGGGAACGUACCCUUUACUACGGAAUAGCUCCGGGAAACUGGAAUUAAUACCGUAUGUGCCCUUUGGGGGAAAGAUUUAUCGGUAAAGGAUCGGCCCGCGUUGGAUUAGCUAGUUGGUGGGGUAAAGGCCUACCAAGGCGACGAUCCAUAGCUGGUCUGAGAGGAUGAUCAGCCACAUUGGGACUGAGACACGGCCCAAACCCCUACGGGAGGCAGCAGUGGGGAAUAUUGGACAAUGGGCGCAAGCCUGAUCCAGCCAUGCCGCGUGAGUGAUGAAGGCCUUAGGGUUGUAAAGCUCUUUCACCGGAGAAGAUAAUGACGGCAUCCGGAGAAGAAGCCCCGGCUAACUUCGUGCCAGCCGCCGCGGUAAUAC